rnacentral:rRNA from 1 species
GAUGAACGCUGGCGGCGUGCCUAAUACAUGCAAGUCGAGCGAACAGAUGAGGAGCUUGCUCCUCUGACGUUAGCGGCGGACGGGUGAGUAACACGUGGAUAACCUACCUAUAAGACUGGGAUAACUUCGGGAAACCGGAGCUAAUACCGGAUAAUAUAUUGAACCGCAUGGUUCAAUAGUGAAAGACGGUUUUGCUGUCACUUAUAGAUGGAUCCGCGCCGCAUUAGCUAGUUGGUAAGGUAACGGCUUACCAAGGCAACGAUGCGUAGCCGACCUGAGAGGGUGAUCGGCCCCACUGGAACUGAGAAACGGUCCAGACUCCUAAGGGAGGCAGCAGUAGGGAAUCUUGCGCAAUGGGCGAAAGCCUGACCGAGCCACGCCGCGUGAGGGAAGAAGGUCUUCGGAUUGUAAAACUCUUUUAUUUGGGAAGAAAAAAAGUGUAAAUAAACCUUGCCGUUUUGACGGUACCCAAACAAAAAGCCCCGGCUAACUUCGUG